GAUCCUGGCUCAGAUUGAACGCUGGCGGCAGGCCUAACACAUGCAAGUCGAACGGUAACAGGAAGAAGCUUGCUUCUUUGCUGACGAGUGGCGGACGGGUGAGUAAUGUCUGGGAAACUGCCUGAUGGAGGGGGGAUAACUACUGGAAACGGUAGCUAAUACCGCAUAACGUCGCAAGACCAAAGAGGGGGACCUUCGUGCCUCUUGCCAUCGGAUGUGCCCAGAUGGGAUUAGCUUGUUGGUGGGGG
rnacentral:rRNA from 1 species